rnacentral:rRNA from 1 species
UACGAAGGGUGCAACCGUUGCUCGGGAUUAUUGGGCGUAAAGCGCACGUAGGCGGCUUAGCAAGUCGGCUGUGAAAUCCCUCGGCUCAACCAAGGAAGUGCAUCCGAAACUGCUGAGCUUGAGUACGAAAGAGGAUCGCGGAAUUCCCGGUGUAGAGGUGAAAUUCGUAGAUAUCGGGAGGAACACCAGUGGCGAAGGCGGCGAUCUGGGUCGAUACUGACGCUGAGGUGCGAAAGCGUGGGGAGCAAACAGG